UAGUCCAUGCCGUAAACGAUGUGUGCUAGUUGUCGGGGUCUUUAGGCUUCGGUGACGCAGCUAACGCAUUAAGCACACCGCCUGGGGAGUACGGUCGCAAGAUUAAAACUCAAAGGAAUUGACGGGGACCCGCACAAGCGGUGGAGCAUGUUGUUUAAUUCGAAGCAACGCGAAGAACCUUACCCACACUUGACAUCCUGGUCGGGGAUUAUAGAGAUAUUUUCCUUCGGUUCGGCCGGACCAGUGACAGGUGCUGCAUGGCUGUCGUCAGCUCGUGUCGUAAGAUGUUUGGUUAAGUCCAGCAACGAGCGCAACCCCUAUCGUGUGUUACCAGCGGUUCGGCCGGGUACUCACGCGAGACUGCCGGUGUUAAGCCGGAGGAAGGUGGGGACGACGUCAAGUCAUCAUGGCCCUUACGUGUGGGGCUACAAACGUGCUACAAUGGGUGAUACAGUGGGCAGCCAGGUCGCGAGGCCGAGCUAAUCCCUAAAAUCAUUCUCAGUUCGGAUUGUACU
rnacentral:rRNA from 1 species